rnacentral:rRNA from 1 species
GGCUCAGUAACACGUCGGUAACCUACCCUCGGGAGGGGGAUAACCCCGGGAAACUGGGGCUAAUCCCCCAUAGGCCUGAGGUACUGGAAGGUCCUCAGGCCGAAAGGGCGUAAGCCGCCCGAGGAUGGGCCGGCGGCCGAUUAGGUAGUUGGUGGGGUAACGGCCCACCAAGCCGAAGAUCGGUACGGGCCAUGAGAGUGGGAGCCCGGAGAUGGACACUGAGACACGGGUCCAGGCCCUACGGGGCGCAGCAGGCGCGAAACCUCCGCAAUGCGGGCAACCGCGACGGGGGGACCCCCAGUGCCGUGGCAACGCCACGGCUUUUCCGGAGUGUAAAAAGCUCCGGGAAUAAGGGCUGGGCAAGGCCGGUGGCAGCCGCCGCGGUAAUACCGGCGGCCCGAGUGGUGGCCGCUAUUAUUGGGCCUAAAGCGUCCGUAGCCGGGCCCGUAAGUCCCUGGCGAAAUCCCACGGCUCAACCGUGGGGCUUGCUGGGGAUACUGCGGGCCUUGGGACCGGGAGAGGCGGGGGGUACCCCUGGGGUAGGGGUGAAAUCCUAUAAUCCCAGGGGGACCGCCAGUGGCGAAG